rnacentral:lncRNA from 1 species
AUAAAUGGGUGGGCAAAGAGGACAGGAUUUUGCAGAAGGGUGUCUCAAAUCCACCAUUUUAAGAACCCCCGCCCCCUCUCUCUCUCUGCUUCGAUUCUCUCUAUCUUCUUGCGGGGGGGUGACUGGCUCGUAGUCGUGGUACGAGGAAGGUGUGUGUUGAGCAAGAUGGAGAAGCAGGGCACGUGCAUUACUAACCGAUAGCAUAUACACAUUUCUUGCUGAAGUUAAUUAAUUAAUAUGAGAGUUAAUUAAUUAAUAGGUGCGGUGAGUUAGUUCUUCAUGUGCCCGUCUUCCCCAUCAUGACCACUGCAUCUUAUUUUAUAUAUAUAUAU